AGCUCAAAGGCGAGCAUAAUUUCCUGAGGAUUCUGGAAGAUUAUUUCCAGAUAUCCGUCAGAGGUCC
ensembl:snoRNA